UACGUAGGGGGCAAGCGUUGUCCGGAAUCAUUGGGCGUAAAGCGCACGUAGGCGGCCCUGUAAGUCCGUUGUGAAAGUCAAAGGCUCAACCUUUGAAUGCCGAUGGAUACUGCAGGGCUAGAGUCCGGAAGAGGCGAGUGGAAUUCCUGGUGUAGCGGUGGAAUGCGCAGAUAUCAGGAGGAACACCAAAUAGCGGAAGGCAGCUCGCUGGGACGGUACUGACGCUAAGGUGCGAAAGCGUGGGGAGCGAACAGG
rnacentral:rRNA from 1 species